rnacentral:rRNA from 1 species
CUUAAGCAUAUCAUCAAUAAGCGGAGGA